AUCGCUUCUUGGCCUUUUGGCUAAGAUCAAGUGUAGUAUAGUUUCCUUUCCAUUCUCUAACUUAAAGUUUCUUUUAUUACCUUAUCCCGGUGGCUUGAACCUCUAGUAAGGUGUUGAAGUAGCAAGAACUUGCCUUAUUUACAAUCUU
ensembl:snRNA U2 U2 spliceosomal RNA